rnacentral:snRNA from 11 species
AGCUUUGCACAGUGGCAGUAUUGUAGCCAAUGAGGUUUAUCCAAGGCACGAUUAUUGCUAUUGAAAAAGUUAAAUGUUCAGUCCCC